UGGCCUCAGAUCAGACUGGCGACCCACCAAAUUUAAGCAUAUUACUAAGCAGCGGAAAGGAAACUAGCCAGGAUUCCCUCAGUAACAUUGAGUGAAGAGGGAAUAGCCCAGCACUGAAUCCCUGCCCGGUAGACCAGCACAGGGAAAUGUGGCGUAUGGAAGUCUGUCUCCCCAGCACCACCCAGGAGGCCCAAGACCUUGUGAUUGAAGCUCAGCCCGUGGAUGGUGUAAGGCCAGUGGUGGCCCCUGGUGCAUCGGAAUCAGGCCUUCCCAGAGUCAGUUUGUUUGUGAAUGCAGUCCAAAGAGGGGUGGUAAACUUCAUCUAAGGCUAAAUACCGGCACGAGACUGAUAGCAGACAAGUACUGUAAGGGAAAGUUGAUAAGAACUUUGAAGAGAGAGUUCAAGAGGGUGUGAAACUGUUCAGAGGUAAAUGGGUGGGGUCCGCGUUGUCCACCCAGAGGAUUCAACAUGGCGGUCACACUGGCUGCACAGGCGAGGCAGAUCCACCUCCCACUCCAGGGGGUGGGGGACCAUCCCGGGCAUGCUGGCCACUAUCGGGCACAUUUCCUCUGCAGUGGUACAUCGCGGCUAGCUCUCACUCAGCCGGGAAGGCCAUGCAGAAGGUGGCUCCCCUCCCCAUAGGGGAGUGUUACAGCCCACGGCAUCAGCCCUCACCGUGCUAUGAGGUCAUGGGAGAUGACCACCACUGCACCCACCCCUGCCCACGUGGUGGGGGCCGGGUGCCCCUAGCUUCUGGUGGGACUGUCAACUGGGCCAGACUGCCCUCAUUAUGGCCUGACCACGUCCUGCCAUUGCAUUGGUGGUCUCAUCUCGGGUGACCGGGGUCUGCGGUGAUGUCGGUGACCCACCCAUCCCAUCUUGAAACAUGGAACAAGGAGUCUAACAAGUGUGCGAGUCCGAUGGUGGGCAGGAGACCACACGGUGCAAUGAUAGUGAGGGCUGGUGAGCACUGGCUGAGGCGGGAUCCCUCUGUUCCACAUGGGGGGCACACCGCUGGCCCAUCUCACCUGUACCAUUGGGGAGGUGGAGCAUAAGCACACCUGGUGGGACCUGAAAGAUGGUGAACUAUGCCUGGGCAGGGCGAAGCCAGAGGAAACUCUGCUGGAGGUCUGUAGCAGUCCUGAUGUGCAGAUCGGUCAUCUGACUUGGGUAUAGGGGUGAAAGACUAAUCGAACCAUCUAGAAGCUGUUUUCCUCCGAAGUUUCCCUCAGGAUAGCUGGUGCUUGGUGGACGUGGUUUUAUCUGGUAAAGCGAAUGAUUAGAGAUCUUGGAGCCAAAACGAUCUCAACCUAUUCUCAGACUUUAAAUGGAUAGGAAGCAUGACUCGCUGCCUUGGAGCUGGGUGUGGAAUGCGAGCGCCCAGUGGGCCACUUUUGGUAAGCCGAACUGGUGCUGCAGGAUGAACUGAAUGCCGGAUUAAGGAGCCCGAUGCCGACACUCAUCAGACCCCAGGACGGUGGCCAUGGAAGUUGGAAUCUGGUAAAGAGUGUGGAACAACUCACCUGCUGAAUCAACUAGCCCUGAAAAUGGAGGCGCUGGAACAUCAGGCCCAUACCCAGCCGUCGCUGGUGCUGGGAGCUGAGGGGGCUAUGCUGUGAUGAGUAGGAGGGCUGCCACAGUGGCACUGAAGCCCAGGAUGAGGGCCCGGGUGGAGCCGCCGCUGGUGCAGAUCUUGGUGGUAGUAGCAAAUAUUUAAAAGAGAACUUUGAAGACCAAAGUGGAGAAGGGUUCCAUGUGAACAGCAGUUGAACAUGGGUCAGUCAGUCCUGAGAGAUAGGUGAGCUCCAUUCUGAAGGGACAGGUGAUGGCCUCUGUUGCCCUCGGUCAAUCGAAAGGGAGUCGGGUUCAGAUCUCGAAUCCAGAGUAGAGGAGAUGGGCAUCUUGCUGCAUCCAGUGCAAUGAUGCAAAUGAUCCCAGAGAAGCCAGGGGCCCCUGGGAGGGUUCUCUUUUCUUUGUAAAGGGCAAGGGCAUCCUGGAAUGGGUUCACCCCGAGAGACGGGCCCGCACCCUGGAAAGCGUUGCGGUUCGGUUGGCGUCAGGUUAGCUCUCCCCGGCCCUUGAAAAUCCUGGGGAGAGGGUGUAAAUCUUGUGCCAGGCCAUACCCAUAUCCACAGCAGGUCUCCAAGUUGAACAGCCUCUGACAUAUUAGAAGAAUGUAGGUAAGGGAAGUCGGCAAGCCAGAUCUGUAACUUUGGGAUAAGGAUUGGCUCUAAGGGCUGGGUCAGUUGGGCUCGGGCAUGAAGAGGGGUUGGGUGAGUGCCGCGGCUGGACAAGGCAUCGCCCUCUUGUCAUACUACCCCCUCAUGGGGGUUGGGGGGACGGCGAUGGUGACUCUGAACUCAUGCUGGGUCCUUCCUGUGGAUCACUCCGGCUAUGGGGUGUGCCAGUCCUGACUGGCAUCCCGCAUCGUCUGGCAGCUAGCAGCUGACAUAGAACUGGUGCAGACCGGGGGAAUCUGACUGUUUAAUUAAAACAAAG